UCCGGUAUGGUGUAUCGGCUAGCAUCGCCCGCUUUCACCGCUCCCUUCUUCAGGGCAUCGAUUCCGGGCAGAGCCGGGUUCGACUCCCGGUACCGGAA
rnacentral:tRNA from 1 species